rnacentral:rRNA from 1 species
GACGAACGCUGGCGGCGUGCCUAAUACAUGCAAGUUGAGCGAUGAAGAUUGGUGCUUGCACCAAUUUGAAGAGCAGCGAACGGGUGAGUAACGCGUGGGGAAUCUGCCUUUGAGCGGGGGACAACAUUUGGAAACGAAUGCUAAUACCGCAUAACAACUUUAAACAUAAGUUUUAAGUGUGAAAGAUGCAAUUGCAUCACUCAAAGAUGAUCCCGCGUUGUAUUAGCUAGUUGGUGAGGUAAAGGCUCACCAAGGCGAUGAUACAUAGCCGACCUGAUAGGGUGAUCGGCCACAUUGAGACUGUGACACGGCCCAAACUCCUACGGGAGGCAGCAGUAGGGAAUCUUCGGCAAUGGACGAAAGUCUGACCGAGCAACGCCGCGUGAGUGAAGAAGGUUUUCGGAUCGUAAAACUCUGUUGGUAGAGAAGAACGUUGGUGAGAGUGGAAAGCUCAUCAAGUGACGGUAACUACCCAGAAAGGGACGGCUAACUACGUG